rnacentral:rRNA from 1 species
GCCCGCNUCCCAUCANCUNGUUGGUGGGGUAAAGGCCCACCAAGGCGACGACGGNUAACCGUUCUGAGAGGAUGCCCGGCCACAGGGGCACUGAGACACGGCCCCCACUCCUACGGGAGGCAGCAGUUAGGAAUCUUCCGCAAUGGACGGAAGUCUGACGGAGCGACGCCGCUUGGAGGAGGAAGCCCUUCGGGGUGUAAACUCCUGAACCCGGGACGAAAGCCCUGAUGAGGGGGAUGACGGUACUGGGGUAAUAGCGCCGGCCAACUCCGUGCCAGCAGCCGCGGUAAUACGGAGGGCGCGAGCGUUACCCGGAUUUACUGGGCGUAAAGGGCGUGUAGGCGGUUUGGGGCGUCCCAUGUGGAAGGCCACGGCUCAACCGUGGGGGAGCGUGGGAUACGCUCAAGCUAGAGGGUGGGAGGGGGUGGUGGAAUUCCCGGAGUAGCGGUGAAAUGCGCAGAUACCGGGAGGAACGCCGAUGGCGAAGGCAGCCAUCUGGCCCAUUUCUGACGCUGAGGCGCGAAAGCGUGGGGAGCGAACCGGAUUAGAUACCCGGGUAGUCCACGCCCUAAACGAUGCGCGCUAGGUCUCUGGUGUGUGNCUGGGGGCCGAAGCCAACGCGAUAAGCGCGCCGCCUGGGGAGUACGGCCGCAAGGCUGAAACUCAAAGGAAUUGACGGGGGCCCGCACAAGCGGUGGAGCAUGUGGUUUAAUUCGAAGCAACGCGAANAACCUUACCAGGCCUUGACAUGCUGGGGAACCUANGUGAGAGCCUGGNGUGCCCUNUGAGGGAGCCCUAACACANGUGNUGCAUGGCCGUCNUCACUCNUGUCNUNAGAUUUUGGGUUAANUCCC